UCUAUUUUCAAACACUAUAUACGACUGGACACUUAUUUGAUCCAGUUUUUUUUUUCCCAUGUGAAUGCCAAUAUUGUCACAACCACAAAUUUGCUAAAUGUAUCAUCAAAAUGCCAGUCAAUGUAACGAGAUAUUAUCCUACCACAAGUUGAUGGAUCGUUAGUUUAUCUCCACGAAGAGGCUGGCCUGCGGAUGCAAUCCUGCUUCUUUCAGCGACGAAGAUAACUUGUCUUGGCCA
rnacentral:lncRNA from 1 species